ACGCCCAGAUUUUUGUAUUUUUAGUAGAGAUGGGGUUUUACCAUGUUGGCCAGAAUGGUCUCGAUUUCCUGACCUCAAGUGAUCCGCCCGACUCGGCCUCCCAAAGUGCUGGGAUUACAGGCGUGGACUGGCCAUCUUCUUUGAUUGCUAUCUCCAUGCGUUCCGGUCAAGGCACGGGAUGGUGGUCUCCAGUUCAGUUGAAAUUUCCAAAAUCAAGGCCUGGAAAAAAUCAAGGCGCUGAUUUCCAGAGAUUCCCCAGAACUGCCGCGAGGGGGCGCCCGGCGCUGCCAAACCCGGAGGGCCGCGCGCGCCAACCGUGUCCAAUCCGCACGGCGGCGUCCUGGGGAGUCCACUGUGAGGACGGAGCUUCCUCUCCUCAGGACCCACCCAGGAGGGGCCGGGACUUGGGACACCUGGGGCCGCGUCCGCUGUGAGGACAGGGAGACUCUGCUGCAGCUCCGGGACACCUGGGGCCGCCGAGGCGAAGGACGCAGCAGAAGAGAGAGAAUUCUCUGGCUCCCUGAAGAGUCAGGAGGAGAGUGUUUCUAAGGUCUGGCCCGAUUGCCCAGGCUGGAGUGCUCUGGCACCUUCUCGGCUCACUGCAUCCUCCUGGGCUUAAGCCAUCCUCCCACUUCAGCCUCCCGAGUAGCUGGGACUACAGGUAUAUACAAUCGUGCUCAGCUAAUUUUUGUAUUUUUUUUGUAGAGACGAGGUUUUGCCAUGUUGCCCAGGCUGGCCUCAGACCCGCCCAAAGUGCUGGGAUUACAAGCAUGAACCACCAUGCCCAGCCCAGUGUGUUCUUAUUAAAUUUCAGUAAUUAGUCGUGCCAUUUGUCUUUUGUUCAACACUGAGAUUUCAUUUUUCUUUCCUAAUUGUCUCAUACAUGGACUUUGGUUCCAUUAAACUAUUAUUUCCUUGAUCUACAAAUUGCGGGUGAUUCUUGCAGAUUAGCUAAGAAAUAAUUAUGUUUUGUUUUUAGAAAAACCACAUUAUUAACUUUACUACUGUUAGAUACCACAACUGCUGUGACUUUAAGGACUUUGCUGGACAAUGUCUUAGACGAUUUGCUAAGGGUCGACAUUGGGUGAAUGGCUUGAGGGAACAUGCAUUAAAUACUCGAGACACCCAGGAGGCUGCUGUGUCCGCUUAAGAGAGAGCAUAUGAGACUGCAGGCCAUUGGGGUUGAAUGCCUUGGAAAGGGCAGUAUGCAGGGGCACACAGUGUGUGGAGGUCAUGGUCAGUCCUGCUGUCCUUGUUCUAAGGCCAGUGGGAACCCAUUGUAAAAGUUAAAUCAGAGAGUGACAUUAUGAACCUUCGGUUUGAAAAUGAGAAUUUUGCCAUUAUAAAGUUGAGAUCACCAGUUGUGGGCAGGUGGAUUGUGCUCUUUCUGGUGGGUUGCACUGAGGAGAGCAAACAUUGGGCUGAGGUGUUUCCGCUGGGAACGCAGGGUCUGCAUCUGCUCAGGAGGAAACAUGAGGCAGACCCAGCUUGGAGUUAUCUGCCAAAGUUGUGAAACUGAGGGACAGCUCAGGAACAUUCCAGAAAAAGGAAAACCCAAUCCAAAUGGAAAGAGACACUUUCUCCCAGUUGGGGCAGGCAGUGAAGUGAAAUGGGUCUGUGGAUUGGAUUGUCAGGUAGAGAACUUGUAUUUCCUGAUUUGGGGGUUAUGUGGUGGUUAGCUGGGAGGCUGUCUUUGCUUUGGUAAAAUACACUGGAGUGUUUUGUGUGGAGUUGCUGUAACUGCUGAGGAAUCUAAGAGAAGGGAUAAGUUACACUUUACACUGCUAUUGCAAGAUUCCUAGAAGUAUGAAAUUACUGUAAAUUAUAAACAACCACAGUAAUACCAUGUCAGUAAAGCAGAGACGACAUGAAACUUCACUAUAGAGGCCAAACCCAGUCCAAAUUCAGGUCAGUGGAAGCUGUGUACCAAGCACCCCGGUGAGAGUCUGGAUGCUGUAUCCAUAUUGUGGCUGAAAUAUCAGUAUUGAGGAUGUCACAUUAGUCUUAGGGGAAUAUCAGUAUUGAGGAUGUCACAUUAGUCUUAGGGGUGUGAUAGCAGUAUUGUGGGUGUCGUAUCUGUAUUGUGUGUGUCAUAUCAGUAUUGCAGGUGUCCCAUCAGUCUUACGAGUGUCAUAUCAGUCUUACGAGUGUCAUAUCAGCCUUACAGGUGUCAUAUCAGUAUUAUGGGUAUCAUAUGAGUCUUAGGAGGGUCAUGAAUUUUGUGGGCUUCACAUCAGUCUUAUGGGUGUCACAGCAGUCUUGUGGGUGUCAUAUCAGUAUUACGAUAUGCCUUGAUAUGUUAUACCAGUAUGAUACCUCUUCUGAAAACACCUUCACAGACAUACCCACACAUAGUGCUUUAACAGCUCUCUGUGUAUCCCUUAAUCUAGUAAAGUUGACACCUAAAAUUAACCAUCACAGUAAUUAUGCCUGAUUCAUGGCUAAAAUUUUAGAAUUUUUAAAAAUUUUAGAAUGAAAGCUGGGCACCAUAGCCAGACACCGUCCCUACAGAAAUAUUAAAAAGUUAACUGGUUGUGCUUGCACGCAUAUGUAGUUCCAGUUACUCUAGAGGCUGAGGUGGGAGGAUCUUUUGAGCCCAGGAGAUUGAUGCUGAAGAGCUAGGAUUGUGGCACUGCAUUCCAGCCUGGGUGACAGUGUGAGGCUCUCUGAAAAAACAAUCAACAGUAAUAAUAUUCUUUGGAAUACAUUUAACCAAGGUACAAGACUUGUACAUGAGGCUGGGCAUGGUGGCUCAUGCCUGUAAUCCCAGCACUUUGGGAGGCCAAGGCGGGUGGAUCCACGAGAUCAGGAGAUCAAUACCAUCCUGGCUAACAUAGUGAAACCCCGUCUGUACUAAAAAUACAAAACAUUAGCUGGGCAUGGUGGCAUGCGCAUGUAAUCCUAGCUACUUGGGAGGCUGAGGCUGGAGAAUUGCUUGAACCUGGGAGGCAGAGGUUGCAGUGAGCUGAGAUCUCACCACUGCAGUCCACCCUGGGUGACAGAGUGAGACUCUGUUUCUGGAAAAAACAAACAAACAAAAAACAACAAAAUAACUUGUGCAUGGAAAAUUUCAAAACAUUGCUGAAGUAAAUUCAAGAAAGCUUACAGAAAUUUAAAGACACCUCAUAUUCAUAAACUAGAAGACUUAAUAAUUCUUAAGGUGGCAGUACUACACAAAGCCAUCUACAGAUUCUUUGUGAUUCCUGUUACAAUCCCAGCGUCCUUUUGGCAGAAAUCAACAGGCUGAUCUUGUCAUUUAUAUGAAAUUUCAAGGGAUGCAGAAUAGCCAAAAUAGUAUCAAAAAAAAAAAAAAAACAA